GGGGUCUUAGCUCAGCUGGGAGAGCAUCUGCCUUACAAGCAGAGGGUCAUAGGUUCGAGCCCUAUAG
rnacentral:tRNA from 1 species